GGAUCCCGCCCCCGCCCCCGCCGCUGAGGACUGCCCUCGCCCCCCGCCCGCCCUGCCCGCCCCGCCCGCGCCGCGGAAACCCGGGGCUUCCCGGGGACGGGGAGCGCUUCCGGCAUCUCCCCCGCCCGUCGGCUAAGGGGCUCCGCCGCGGCUCUCCCCGGCGGCCCUCCCCGGAUCCCUACUCACAUCUGCGCCGUCUCCGGAACAUGGGCGCCGCGUCGCGCUCCGGAGCUGUCCAGCAGCGCCGCCGCAGCCACCGACCUGCAAAAUACAGCGCCGGGCUCGCUCGCCGCCCGCCGGCCCGGGCCGCAGGGAGCGGGCACAUGCCGGGCGGGGAACGCGCGGCUGCUCCCGGCUGCUCCGUCUGCCCUCAGCCGCAGGAGGGAGAGGCGCGGCCGGGGCGUGAGGCCAGCGGCAGCCGGGGGGUGGCUCGGGGACUGGCGACCCGUUCCGCCGAGCCGGCAGGAGCCGUACCGCGGAACGGGAGCGGUGUCACUGAGUAGCUCCCCUCCGCCCCCGGCUCUCUGCCGUGCACUGCCUGCGCAGUCCUGAACUUGGUGGUCUGCUGCCAUUUUACCUUUUCCCUUUUCUUUGCCUCCCAAGCUCCCACUGAGUAAUCCGCUCUGGCAGCUCCGUUAGGCAGAGCAAUGUCUGCACCAGAUUCUUGGGCGCAUCUAGGCUCCCUCCUGGCAGAGCAGAAGGAACUGAAAAGUCCCUGAUUUAAUAUAAAAAUGAAGAGAAAACUGAAAACAAAAAUUCAAAACAAGCUUUGUCAUUUACCCCAGAUGUUCCUUCACAUUGAUUCAUCUGAUUGCUCUGUCACCCACACUGUCCUGGAGGAGGAAUGCUUCGACCACUAGACUUUGUGGGUUAGGUAACCCUUGAUAUUCCUUUUGGAAGGUGUUUCUCUGUGUCAACUUAUACUUCCUUUGCAAGGUGGGUCAGGAUGGGGAGUUUUCAGCACCUCUGAUAUGUAUCUUAUCUGCACUGGCCACAAUGUUGAUCUCCAGUAAAUGUUUGCCUGUGGCAAGUGGGUUGGGACCAAAUGAUCUUUAAGGUUCCUUCCAACUCAAAUGAUGCUAUGAUUUUAUGAAAUUCAAAAGUACAUGGAAAAUUACAAAUUUUUAUGUAUGUAUUUAACUGCAGAGGUCAAAUGUGAAAGUAUGGUUUCAUUGCCCAUGAUUAAUACUAAAACUGUCUAUCAUUCAUCCAUUCUGGUUGUAGUCAGUGCUUUGUGAAAAGGAGCUGCAAUCCCAGUCUCCUUGUCUGCUGCUUCCUGCUGGCCCUUGUCAAAAAAAGCAUAGGCCAGGACAGACUGAUUUCCUUAGGUCCAAGGCUGUUACUAUCUAUCUAUAGGUUCUUGUUCAUAUGCUCUUAUAGGUUACCAAAAUACAGAUUCUGGCCAAGCCCACCAUCUAUCACUCCCUUAUUUUUCCACUAGAAAGGUUUUUUUACCCCCUAAAGUGAAUGGUACUUGAUGUAGAUUUCCAUAGAUGUAAUCCCUUUGCAGUGCAGUAAAGAGGGCAGCAAAAGGAAAGAGAACACAUUUGUAGCCAGUCCCUUCCCCCUGAGCUUUAUUGGAAGGACACAAAAAGCACAAGAAAGACAGUGUCAGAAAACUGUCAGGAGGUGGGGCAGAGUAGGAGCCUGAAAUGUUCUGACUUCUGCACAAACUGCCAGCUCAAUCCCACCAGUACUGGAUGAGUGGAGAGACCAGGCCAGAAAGCUCAGCUGUUUUAAAGCCCAGUCAUACUCCCUGCUGAGGCACUGCUGCCUGGAAGCACUGUGCCGAGAAGGAUGCCAACCAGGCAGGAUUUUUUCACAUUCAUUUAACAAACACUUUUUGUGUUACUUGCAAUUCUGCUGCUCAGAGGUUAAUCAAGGAAACCAGAGCAGACCAUGCUACCAGCAUCACUCCAUCACCUUCCCCUCCCCACCUUCAAGCCGCAUGUCACCAGGUAUCAUAUCCUGAUGUAUUUUGUUUUCCCAAUGGCGAUUUGAUAACUGAUACAAGAUGAAACCUCUCGUAACUGCUCUGUAGAUACUAAAUUGCUUUAUUGAAGAAACAGCAUUAUGCAUAAAUUUUUUUCGGGGAAAAAAAAAAUUUAGGAGGGCAGGGAUAACUUUUUACUGAAAAGGCAAGUAGCUCAUACCUGCUGUGACAUCAGACUGAAAUCCCUGCUUCUCUUCAGCUGAUGACUGCAUUCAAGAUAGACAGCAGUGCAAGAAAAGUAUCUCUGAAUAUCAGUCAAAGUUUAUCACCUGAAAGAAGCCUUUGGACUUGAAGCCAAGAAAAUGAACAUAAAAUUAAUAGCUAUUUUCUUUUCAGUAGGUGAACAGAAAACACAGAUGAAGGAUUUUCAAUGAGGGUCUAAGGCAUUACACUGAUACACCUUUUCAGCUGGAGAAAUACUUCCAUAUGGCUUUAGUUAUAUGCCAUGGGAAUAAAAUAAAAGCACUUGAACACUGCAAGAGCAUCAACCAAGAAAAGCAUUCAGAUUGUAUCAGCCAUUUCACCCAGGAGCAGCCAGAUUUCCUCCACCACCAUUUUACGACUUGCCUUUGCUGACUCCUGUAGUUGUGACUUUGGUUUCACUGAGUUACUAGAACCUAUUAACAGCAAUUUCCAUGCUUUGACUUAGGUGUAUACUGCCAGUCCAACCCAGAUUCUAGAAUCAUGUCUAGUCUAACCUAUUCAGUCAACAUGUUUAUACAGAAUCAUGGAAUUGUUUGGGUUAUAAAGGACCUUAAAGAUCACCUAGUUCAAACCCUCCACCAUUGAUUGAACUGUAGAUUUUCUCUGCUGCUCCUAGAAUUAAGGACAUUCCUGUCAGGAUUCCAUCAUAAAUUUGGGACUACCAAAUAUGCCAUUUGAUUAAUGAAAUAGCUACCAGGAAAUUAUUACCUUUCCUUAUAACCCAUGUUAGAUGUUUCUAGUUUGUGUUAGGGUCUCGCAUCAACCAGAAACAUCUCAGUCCUGGCUCUUUUACUAUUCCUUCACUGAAGGUACUUGUUUAUACUUUCAAAUAUAUCUGACCCACCCCCCUUCAAAAAAAAUUUUGUGAAAUUGUUUUGCUUUUAAAAAAUUAAAAAAAAAAUCUGCAGCAAUACAUCCUGAAUUUGUCAUUGUUUUAAUUACCCUGAACAAUCUUAUAUUAGCUGAUCCAGUGCUGGAAAACAAAGUAAAGGUGAAGUUACUUAUAAAAAAAAAGGUGAAGAAAAGAAUUUUUCAAAAGGGAUUUACAGCUGUAAAAAUAGAAGGCAUUUCUACCACCAGUGAGGCAUAAAAAAUGUAUUUUUCUCCUUUUUCUACAGCAGAUAUUAUUCUUGUGCCCCUGAGCAGUUAUUUUGCUAGAAGAAGGACAUUCAAGAAUAUAAUCCCGUGCUUACACUCCUCCACCAUGUCAAGUUAUUAUGGAUCUUGCAAAGAGUCUAAGUCACUUGAUGCAACUCUAUUUCUAAUCUGAGUGUGAUUUUAGCAGAAAGAAAUAUAACUAAACAUAAUAUUAAUAAAUAGAUCUUCGGUAUCUCAAGGUCACCCUAAUAAAUGAUCAGUGCACUAUGAAAACCUGUUUCCUUCAGGUGAAUACCAACAGUCAGUUUAGUUAAUAAAGUUCAGUUGCAAGCUAAACAAUUACAGGCAUAAUAAAAUAGAGUCAUAUAAUGAUUUGGGUCUUAGGGGACCUUUAAGGUCAUCUAAUGCCAAGCCCCCAUGCCAUGGGCAGGGAGGUCAGUCAAUGAAAUUUCGUGUCGGAGUUCAGGAUUCAUCGUGCAUUUUUUUGUGUUGAGCAGUGAGGAGUUCUGUAUGUACAAAUAUCCAGAUUUCUCUUUAAGGAGGUCAACACUAAUCGCAUUUCGUCCGUACAACUAUACCUAACAUAGAUUGUGACCUUCUAAAUAUUUCUAAUAGUCUCCCCAGCAGUGUCAGUCACUUCAGAAUAGAUUAGGGUAACUCUGCCUGCUAUUUACUUGAUUCUCACUGGACUAGUUAAGCUGAUCAGUGAAACUUUAAUCCAUUCAUGGAUAUGCCAGUUAUAUUUCUAUUCCCAUUAGGAAGGAGAUGUACACUUCAGAAAUUUUCCAAGUACAAAACAAUCCUAAACCAGGGAAGUAUAGGUCCCUUAUCAACUUAAAGCAAGCAUAAUAAUUAAAAAUGGAUAAAGAGCUUAGAACUGAAUUUUAAAUUAGCUCUGAUAAUGCAUACACUUAUUAAGGUUUUAAAUAGGGUUUUUUUAUUAUUAUUGUGUAACUUUUUGAAGGUCAAUAUGCAAUCUGUUUUCGGAACAUUUGAAAAAUGUAAAAAAAUUAUUUUCUCUCUAAAAUAAUAACAUAAUCAGACAAUGAAACAAUUGUUAUCAUGAAUAUCAUGGCAGUCCCAAUCAAUUGAAGUUGACAUCAGUUUUACUCACAGAUCACUUUAGCGUCUAUCUUCAUAACUUAUUUUUUCAGAAAACAUGAGAAAAGACCUUUUAGGUUUGUUUCCCAGUCACUCCAAUAGCAGCCAUCUCAUGCAGGGGUGUUGAGGAUCACAAUCACAGGGUAAAUCUCGUUUUAUCUCACAGAGUUCUGCUGAAGAAGAUAAGAUAAGAGUCAUACAUAAGAAUUAUGGUGGGAUUACAGAAUCAAAGUCGAUUCAACUGAAAGGACACUAUGUGGAAAGGGGAAAAGGAUCACUUGCUUUUAGCAGAUAAGCUUUUCUUAUUGCUCAGCUGAAGAUACAUGGACUACAGAAGAUUUCAACACUUCAGCUAUGAUGCCCACAGCUGUCACAUGUGGCUCUUUACAACACAUUAUCAGUGUUGCAACACGUUAUCAGUGUUCAUUUCAGUACUUUGCCUCACUUUCUCAAUUUGUCUCUCAGAUCUAAACCAGAUGUAAAUUAGCAUUAAAAUCCAGAGCCACUAAGAAUCAAGGAAAGAACUCCAAGUUUAAUGGACUACAUGCCUGUAAGGCAUACUUUAUUUUGUUCACAUUAUUCUUAUCCCCCAUUUUGGAGUUCAGGAGGAUACACAAAACCUCAUAUCGUGUUGUGGUUAAGUGAAGUUUUAUCAAUAUGUGAAAAACCAUAAGUUUCCUAUGCCCUCACACUGGAUACUUGUAGGCACCAGUUUUGAUCAGCAAAAACUCAAACUUUAGCAUAGGUAGAAUUUAAAUGUCCUUUAUAUUUUAAGAGCAUCUGAAUUAGGAAGUCAGGACAUAUCUAGUCCCACUCUUUCUUUCAAUGGUGUUUAUGAUCUCCUCCUGUCUAAAAGCAGAUGUUGUCAACAACAGUUGUAUCAAAGACCUUUUUGAGUAUAAUAUUUACAAGCUAUUUCCUUUUUUGUUUUGUGAGCAGCUUCUUUUGUAGAUACUAAUUACUUCAGGCCUCUGCCAACAUAUGUCCUAGCACAGCCUCUUUCAUCAGAAAUGUCAAAAAUUAAAUUCAAAUGAAGGAUGACAUUUCUGUUGGUGUAGUUCUUGUUUUUAUCCUCUAAAAACUUCAGCUAAGGAAAACCACAAUAUUUAAAGAAAAAAAUGUUCACUUUUUUCAUAAAAUUGCUAGAUGACCAAAUUAUCUCUGUGGUGCAAAAAAUCCUAAAACAAUUCUUAUAUGAUGAAAAUUAUCAGAAACUCUGGCUUUACUUGCCAGGUGCCAAGAGAGCACAACCAGAAAAAUAAUAUAAUAUAUCUUGCACUUUUGCCUUUUUUUUUUCCUGACUACAUGCUUGGGCAGAAUGCAUUUGAAAGCACUUCUGCUUGUCCUAGGUGAUGUUGACUGCUUUAGACUAAAUACUCUCGUUGGCAAUUUUCCACAGACGUGCCAGGAAGCAGUAAGGGCAGGUUGUUCUGCCAGGCAAAGUGAACCAGUGCAGACAUCCCUGGGGUGGUAGAGGCAACAGGCCACUGAGGACCAGUGUGGGGCUGGGAUACUGACAGGGGUGACUGAGGGUCUUGUGUCCGCCACACCCACCCUGGCCAUCCAGGGUAAAUACAGGGUAAAUACAGGUAGCCAAGUCAGCCAGAGUCCAGGCAGCAUGAGGCUGGACACAGCAUCCCUGUGACGCAACUCGGGCCCCAAAACCAAGGGCAAGGGCUGUGCUCAGAAGUAAAUCCUGAGGGAGCAAAAGGUGAGGUGCCUGGGCAAUGCUUCUCAAAGCUGCACAAUUGUUGUGUGAGAUGGAUCCUUCACCAGGUGCUGAACCUCCAGCAGCAGGGAGAAGCUGCUGAUACACCCAUGUCUGGCAUGACAGUUAGGGAGAAGAAGCCACCAGGAUUACUUUUGGAGGGUAGAAUAAAAUUAUGAGAAUAAAGGUGAUUGUUCGCAGACUUGCGUUUUCUAUAUAUGAAGCAACUCCAUGGAAAACAUUUUAGUGAUCUUCAAGUUGGAGACCACUGAUAAGCAUUAAUCUCAUGAGAGUUUUCUAUUGAAUACUUUCUCUUCUGGUCUUCUCCAUGGGCCUGUUAUAGCCAUACAAAGUUCUUUAAAGUUUCUCUGAAUUGAAAAAAUCUAAGCAAAACAUCCCAAAGCCCCAAAAAACCCAAAAAGCAAACUUCAAAUUUAAACUAUAGGUAAGUUUGGUGUGCAACAGCUUAAAUAGUCCUGGAAGAAAUAAUCUUGAAAUCAGUUCAAAUUAAUAUUCCUUUUCUUUGUCUGUUUUUCUCCUCUGGGAAGUCCUCAUGUUGCUAGUGUUUAAGAGAAAAAGCACAAAAAAUACAAGAGCCAUUCAAAGUGUUAAAAAUUAUAAGAAAAACUUCUGCUUGAAGUGGCAAAGUAGGACCUAUGACAAGAGGACUGAAACACAUACUUUUAUUGUAAUGCCUUAGAUUAAUGGAGUAGUAGAACUAGGACUCUGAUGAGCUGGAGGCAGCUGUGGAAUUAAUAUUCCUAUUGGAUUUGUCAGAGGAGAAAAAUGAUUGAUCAGACAAAAUUACUGUAUGUGAGCCCUGCUAAAACUGAAGAAUUACAUAGCUACAAAUUAAUAUCCUGAAUAUCAUUGCCAUUUGACAUACUCCAUCAACCAGUUUUCUGGAUUUAAUUAGUCCCUGGAUGGUUAGGCAUAAUUUAAACAUCACUUGGCUUAUUUUUAUAACACACACUGUAUUUUUUCUUUUGUGUAUUAUCUUAAUAUUUUUAGCCUUGUCUUGGCAUCUGCAUAAUACACAACAAUAGAAUUGACAUUAAGUUUUCACUGACUCUCAGCAGGACUCAGAACUCAUCCCAGAAGUCAUUUUCUAGUUGAACAGUGACCAAACGCAAAAUAAAGAAGCUCAAAAGUUCUGCUUUACAAGCCUUGGGCACUCUGUAACUACAACUGAAAGAAUAGUUCUCAGUCAUUUUCUAGGAUAAUCAUGAAACGCAUUGCAUAUGUGCAACUGAAUAGAGGUAGAAGAAUCUGAAUCAAAAUUCAAAUUUUAAUAACAAAUCAUAUAACAUGUUUUUAAAUCUUCUUGAACUAUCAUAUAGUUGUUAUAAUGAUAGUUCAAGAAUAUUUAAAAAUAUGUAUUUAGAUUAAUCAAAAAGGUCAUAUAUCUUAUUUAAGAUCCUGAGGUAUAUGUGAAGUGGACAAUUAGUGCCCAGGAUCCAUUUUUUUAAGGAAUUUUCUUGUCACUGUUAUAAUAUUUUAUAAUAAGAAAAUAUAUAAUUAUUAUAUGUAAUAAUAAAAAAAGACCUUAUUCACUUUUAUGUACUUGGUGUCAAAAAAGCAUAUAUUCCCUAUAUUAAUUUUUACUGACAUAUAUGUGACAUAGCAGAAUUUUGUAGAUUAGCAUUUUUAUUCAUUUUCUAUUGCCAUUGAUUUUUUCUUUGUUCAGUCGAUAUUAAUAAAUUCCACUGCUAAUUGA